UACGUAGGGUGCAAGCGUUAAUCGGAAUUACUGGGCGUAAAGCGUGCGCAGGCGGUUUUGUGAGACUGUCGUGAAAUCCCCGGGCUUAACCUGGGAAUGGCGAUGGUGACUGCAAGGCUAGAGUUUGGCAGAGGGGGGUAGAAUUCCACGUGUAGCAGUGAAAUGCGUAGAGAUGUGGAGGAACACCGAUGGCGAAGGCAGCCCCCUGGGUCAAAACUGACGCUCAUGCACGAAAGCGUGGGGAGCAAACAGG
rnacentral:rRNA from 1 species